AUACCAUGUUGAACAAACGUGCGUCAUUGACAAAUCAUUUUAAUUCGUGUCUUGUAACUGUUGCCAAAUGAUGUCAGAGAGCACAAAAACAUUAAGAACACCUUAAUUUUGAGUUGCCCCUCCCCCAUUUUCCCUCCAAACAGCCUCAAUUUGUCGAGACACAGACUCUAUAAGGUGUCAAGCGUUCCACAGGGAUGCUGGCCCAUGUUGACUCCAAUGCUUCCCACAGUUGUGUCAAGGCUGGAUGUCCUUUGGGUGGUAGAUCAUUCUUGAUACACACAAGAAACUGUUGAGUGUGGAAAAACCUAUCCGUAUCCUUAUUCCUGUCCUAGCUAGUGACAUCUACUGUAGGCUAUCCGUAUCCUUAUUCAUGUCCUAGCUAGUGACAUCUAGGCUAUCCGUAUCCUUAUUCCUGUCCUAGCUAGUGACAUCUACUGUAGGCUAUCCGUAUCCUUAUUCAUGUCCUAGCUAGUGACAUCUAGGCUAUCCGUAUCCUUAUCCCUGUCCUAGCUAGUGACAUCUAGGCUAUCCGUAUCCUUAUCCCUGUCCUAGCUAGUGACAUCUACUGUAGGCUAUCCGUAUCCUUAUUCCUGUCCUAGCUAGUGACAUCUACUGUAGGCUAUCCGUAUCCUUAUUCCUGUCCUAGCUAGUGACAUCUAGGCUAUCCGUAUCCUUAUCCCUGUCCUAGCUAGUGACAUCUAGGCUAUCCUUAUCCCUGCCUAGCUAGUUAAAUGCUGCUUGUUUUUCAUUGUCUGAAUUUCCGUAUGUGUUGACAAGCGAGAGAUGACACGCUUACUACGGAGGGUCAGACUUGUUGCUCACGUGAGCGGAUCAACACACCGACUGCGUCAUUGCGUCACUGCUGCAUAACAUUUUGCCCAGCUAGGCAACUAGCAUGGAGGAGAGAAUCAUUUUCGCAGUAUCCUCAAAACCGUGUCUUUUUGACACAACUGCUGACAGCUACAGGGACAUAAACACAAAAAAUGCUGUUUGGAGACAAAUGUCCACGAUAGUAGGAUUGCCAGGUCAGUUUAGUAGUGAGCUUAUGCUAGAUGUGGCUAGUUAACGUUAGCUAACCUAGCCAAUGAGGUGUGUGUGUGAAAGAAAUUGUCAUAUAAAUUAUGCUAGUUACUACUCCUGAUAACUUUACCAAAUAAUCAUGUUUGAAAGAGUGAGUGUGUAUGUCAGAUAAAUAGUAAUAGAAAUGGUAGAUACUACUGUACCCCUGAUAAUUUGGUCAGAUAACCGUGUGUGUCUGUGUGUACAGUAGGUGACAUGUUCAUGAUAGCUAUCUAAUAACUAUAGUUAUGCUAGGUAAUGGUUUGGCUUAUCAUGGUCAUGUCUAUGUAGAAGAAGAUUUUAGGAGGAAGUGGAGAGGACUCAGGGACAGGUAUCAGAGAGAGAGAAGGGUAGAGAAAGAGAAGAAGAGGUCUGGGUCAGCAGCUUCAGGCCAGCAGCCUUGGUGCUUCUACCACAUUCUUUCUUUUCUGGAUCCAUUUAUUGUGCCUAUGGCAACGAGUGUCAAUUUUACAGCCAGACCCGCUACUACGUCAUCCACAAGUGUUGUCCCCACCGGUGCAUCAAGACCCUCAACGUCAUCUACAAGUGCGACCAUCGCCUCCACCGGUGCAGCGAGACCCUCUACAAUGUCUACAUCAUCCACAAGUAUGACCACCACCGGUGCAGCCAUGGAAGAGGAUGAAAUGGAGGAAGCAUCUCUGGAUCUAGGACCACCUGAGAUUAUUAUGAACCUCACGGAAGUGACCACUGAGGACCUCGUUGAACAGGAUGUGGCCGUGGAGACAAACGAGGAGAGAAACAGGGAGCGAAACGAAGAGGAACAACGUCACACCAGGCAUCAUCGGAGGUACCAGCCCCCAGAUCCACUCAACUAAUUUCAGUAGAGGCUCCUCCAAGCCGUCGAGAGGGAUGCAGCCCAAGCUGAUGCUCACAGGAAGGAGGAUGAAGAGACCCUCUUUGCCAUGAGCCUGGUGCCAACCCUGAAGAGGCUACCUCAGCAAAGAAAAGCAGCAGUCAAGGUUAAAUUGUAUGAGCUGCUUUUCCAAGCCGAGUUCAAUGAGAUGGAGUCAGUUUAGCCGACCAGCUCACAGGAAGGACAGGAAGAGGAGAGGAGUUGUCUGUUUGUUGUUUUGACCUCCCUCAUUAUACCUUUCCUUUCACACACAGCAGUUCCAUUUAAAUUCAGUCAAGUCAUAAAAUGAUUUGUUUCUAAAGUCUUAGGAUAGCAUUCAUUAUUAGUGUUACAUAGAUUUCUGAAUUGACAGAAUUGAAACUCAUACACCGGAGAAUUCAGAUGCUCUUGUUGGUCUCUUACAAGACUAAAGGUCAAUAUAUUUAUUUAAUUUAAAACCACUUGAAAACCA